rnacentral:rRNA from 1 species
AUUGAACGCUGGCGGCAGGCCUAACACAUGCAAGUCGAACGAGUGGCGGACGGGUGAGUAAUGUCUGGGAAACUGCCUGAUGGAGGGGGAUAACUACUGGAAACGGUAGCUAAUACCGCAUACCAUCGGAUGUGCCCAGAUGGGAUUAGCUAGUAGGUGGGGUAAAGGCUCACCUAGGCGACGAUACCUAGCUGGUCUGAGAGGAUGACCAGCCAACCGGGAACUGGUACACGGUCCAGACUCCUACGGUGGGAAGAAGUGGGGAAUAGCGCAAAAUGGGCGAAAGCCUGAUGCAGCCAUGCCGCGUGGAUGAAGAAGGCCUUCGGGUUUUAAAGUACUUUCAGCGGGGAGGCGUUACCCGCAGAAGAAGCACCGGCUAACUCCGUGCCAGCCGCCGCGGUAAUAC